UGGAACACUGAUUUCUUAGAGGACGUCCUGCUAACACAUGCAGCGGCACCGGUGUGGAAAGCUGGUAUAUGGAUUUUAUUUUCGGCCCCUUAUUUCUCAUCUCCGUCAUCUAGUAUCUUAAUUAAGACUAAACGAUGAUGACCACAGGAAAGAUCCCAUUUUAUGAAUCAAAUAUCGACUUUUAAGGAUUUUUAAAGUAUAAUGACUUGCUUUAUCAUGUUGUGUGUAAUAGGUUUAUAAUGUCCAUUUCUUUUGGGGUUUUCAUCGUGCAUGUACGAGGAAAUGUAACAAAAAUACAUUUAAGAAAUGAAUAAAUAUAAGAAGUAAAAUUGGACUUCUGUGUAAUGACUGCAUUUUGUCUCACUACGCUGAUUCUUGCUGUAAAAACAUGUAUAAUGAUUAAAAUUCUUAAACAAG